rnacentral:rRNA from 1 species
UACGUAGGGGGCUAGCGUUGUCCGGAAUCAUUGGGCGUAAAGCGCGCGUAGGCGGCCCGGUAAGUCCGUUGUGAAAGUCAAAGGCUCAACCUUUGAAAGCCGAUGGAUACUGCCGGGCUGGAGUCCGGAAGAGGCGAGUGGAAUUCCUGGUGUAGCGGUGGAAUGCGCAGAUAUCAGGAGGAACACCAAUAGCGAAGGCAGCUCGCUGGGACGGUACUGACGCUGAGGCGCGAAAGCGUGGGGAGCAAACGGG